rnacentral:rRNA from 1 species
UACGUAUGGUGCGAGCGUUGUCCGGAUUUACUGGGCGUGAAGGGGGCGCAGGCGGCGCGCCAAGCCCGAUGUGAAAGCCCGGGGCUCAACCCCGGGACUGCAUUGGGAACUGGCGUGCUGGAGUGCCGGAGGGGCAGGCGGAAUUCCUGGUGUAGCGGUGAAAUGCGUAGAUAUCAGGAGGAACACCGGUGGCGAAGGCGGCCUGCUGGACUGCAACUGACGUUGAGGCCCGAAAGCGUGGGGAGCAAACAGG